GCAUCCUAGCUCUCCCAUAUACUGUAGAAAUAGAUAACAAUUCUCAAAAUUUUGUUUAUACUAAAGCAGAAGAAACCAUAUGAAGAGAACGAUCACAAUAAAUACUAGAAGUGAGACAUGAUCAAAUUGUAUAUUAGAGACCUAUUAUGCAUUAUGUGAGAUACUCAGAGCAGCCAAAAUUUCAUGAUAAACCGAGAUACUCCAACAACGAAUAAACAAUCUAAAGUAAAAAAAUAACAACUCACAAAAUCACCAAUUCAAACUUUGAACAUGAUUAAAGAUACUACUCAAAAGACCAGACUUUAGGCAGCAAAGAAGUGAUGUAUUAGCUUUUGCUUGAUCAACAGUUACUCCUUACAACGCCAAACAAGAAACGAAGAGCUUUCGACAAUAAGAUUUGAUGGUACAACAUAACGACUCUGAUCACAUACAUAAACAAGAGAGAAACUACAUUACAUAGUCUUAUCUAUUAGCAUGUCGAAACUAGAUUGGAUUGUGAAAUAAUGAGAUUUUAACAUUCAAUCACCAUGCAUACUUGAAUAAACAUUUCUAACAAAAUCAAGGACUUUGCAAAUUCAGCUGCUUUUACACCAAAACAGAUUCAAAAACAUUCCACAUCAAAAAUCUAACAAGCGUAGAGUGAAGAUUUGAGAAUGUGUUCGAAAUGAAACCUGGCAGAGAUUGUAUGUGAAGCU